GCACACACAGGUUACAGGCAAAUUGGCCAGAUCAGGCAUCAGAUAAAAGCCACUUCUAAGACACAGUUAAACAGCCAGACAGUAUUUUGCCGAGCAUAUUGGAAGGAAGCAGAGCAAGCUAAAUUUAAAUUUAGCUUUGAACAUUUGCAGAUGUAAAGACUAAAAGCUCUGAAGUGCGGGUAGCAAAAGGAGACGGCUACGCCAGAGCCCCUAACGCUAAGGAACGAGGCAGGAGCUGGAGCUGCAGGGAGCCCACUUGAACUUGAACCUGAGCCCAGUCAAGGAAACACAGCCAGUGGUCUCUCUUUAUCCUGCCAAAUUUCCCUGGCUACACCUUCACCACACAUAGCAAGAACUUAAGUGUGGUUCCUGACCUUGAUGUGGAAACAUCCAGUCUUUCUCCAUGAUUCGAGUGUGAAGUUCACUUGCUCUCUGUCACUUUCUUCUACCUGCUCACCCCCAGAGGACUUCUAGAGCGGGGUGCCUGAGGCAUCCCGGGCCCGUGGGCAGUCUCUGCGGCACAGAUGCAGCCAGUGCUUGCUGUGAUCUCCUGGGCAGCACAGUGGCCUGGUCUGAUCCAGCAGCAGCAAACCGCAGCCCAGACACCCGGAAGCAUCCAGCUCUGUGUGUUCUGCCCUUUUCACCUGUCAUUUUAUGAACAUUUCCCUGUAUUGGGGUAGAAAAACUUCUCCUAUACAGGGUCAGUUAAUAAAUACUUCAUGAU